ensembl:antisense
CAAAAUGAAGAACACUAGAAGAUGUUGACUACCUGAAAGGCCCUCUCGAGCAAACGCCUGCAUAGAGAGUCCGACUGGUACCCCAAGCCGAGGGACAUGUGACGUGUUCUACCUGUUCAUUAAGGAAUCCUGCAAAUGCAUCUGCAGCCAUGCAAGCUGGCUGGGCCACCAGCCGGCAGCACACGUUGCCAUACAAGGGAAGCCAAAAGGAACACUCCUCUGUUUAAGGAAGCAAGGGGAGAAAGGGGCAAGUUAUAAAUGUACAUUUACGGUUGUUACACA